rnacentral:rRNA from 1 species
UACGUAGGGGGCAAGCGUUGUCCGGAAUCAUUGGGCGUAAAGAGCGUGUAGGCGGCCCGAUAAGUCCGCCGUGAAAGUCCAGGGCUCAACCCUGGAAUGCCGAUGGAAACUGUCGGGCUGGAGUCCGGAAGAGGCGAGUGGAAUUCCUGGUGUAGCGGUGAAAUGCGCAGAUAUCAGGAGGAACACCAAUGGCGAAGGCAGCUCGCUGGGACGGUACUGACGCUGAGGCGCGAAAGCGUGGGGAGCGAACAGG